UUAGUAGCACCCAUUCUUGACUUCUUAUUUAAAACUUGUGUGAUGAAGCUGCAAUUGUUUGGGGGCCGGGACAGCCAUUUGUAAUAGAAGAAGUGAAAGUCGAUCCUCCUCAAAGGAUGGAGGUUCGGAUUAAGAUCCUCUACACUUCAGUCUGUCAUACCGAUCUCGAUCAGUGCUUGGAAAGUCGAGAACGAGGCGCAUCGAGCCUAUCCUCGAAUCCUUGGCCACGAAGCUGCCGGAGUCGUGGAGAGCGUGGGAGAAGGGGUGUUGGACAUGAGAGAAGGUGAUCACGUGAUUCCCAUCUUCAAUGGAGAGUGUGGACACUGCGUCUACUGCAAAUCAGAGAAGACUUACCUAUGCGAAACGUUCCGCGUCAAUCCGCUCAAGAAGGUGAUGCACAACACGGCAAGUCGAGGUUCACAAGCAGAGACGGCCAACCCAUCUACCACUUCCUUA